rnacentral:lncRNA from 1 species
UCUUUUGACACAGAAAAAAUAAUAAUUUUAUACUCUACAUUUUGUUAUUCGCUCUUCCAAAUAGUUGAAUUACAUAUACAUUGGAUAGCAACAUUACAUCAUCUCUUGAAAAUAAAUACAUAUUUCAAUGACGGUUGGAGAUUUUUUUAGUAUUAUGAAAAGCUUACCAUUAUUAGUUGAUCAAAGACUUUGUGUCUUACAACAUGUGUCUAGUCAAUUAUCUCUCCCAAUUGAGUUUGUUAAAAUGAUAUUAUAUGGGGAAGGCACCAUCUGUAACUUGCCUACCACUCCACUCCCCAUACCUCAUCCAGAUAAGAAAAAAAUAUUAAUUAUAAUAUAUUCUUUAAUAUAUUAAUUAACAUUUUUCUAUUCAUUUGAUCAAUACUAAAAUGGAAAUGUUUAAAGUGAACAAUACUAAGAUUACUGAAAUUCAGUUUGAUGAAUGUUAAUGAUACAUCCAUUAUUACACCAUUAAGAAAAUGAAACAAAAUAAGUUAUACAUGGCAGAAUCAUUUCAUUGUGUUAGAAAAUGAAUCCUCCACUUGUUUGGAAAAACAUGGAUCAGAAACUAUUAGAGAGAGCAAGACAAUUAGAGGAGUGAAGAAGAGAACAAAACCAAAUGGUACCAUCCAAAGUUGCUUAUUUGUUGGAUGAUAUUUGUGUAGCCACCAUCCAAGAACACAACCACCAACUAUGCUUGUGAAUAUGGAUGUGAAUAAAAUUACAAAGUAUGGAAGCUUUGUAAUCCACUUACUUUUCUUGUAGGUUCCAUUUUCCACUCCUUCAUCUGUUCUUCCCAUAUUUGAUUGGUGCUCUUAGAAAGAAGACUUGUUAUUCAUUUUGCUUAAAAUAAGGGGCAUGCAAAAAUUGCCAUAAUGUAUAAUAGAAGUAUACUUGGUUACGACUGUUUUUAAGUAGCAAAGUCGUAGAAUAUGUUUGAGCAAAUUCGUCGGCUCGUUGAAAAUUUAUGGAAUGUGAAAGAAAUGGGGACAAAACAAGAGUAUUAAAAUAAGAAAAUGAAUAUUGUUUUGUGGACACUAAAAC